GCCAUAUGCUCCUGCAGUCUGAGGAUUAAUACGGGUGGAUGUCCAUCUCCGGGAAAGUCGAAUGAACAACUUUGAGAAGGUGAAGAAAAAUGCAAAAGAGGGCAAGCUCAAGUAACAUGCCACAGUGACAGCCACCAAGCACCUGGAUAAGGCACCAAGGAUGAGAGGAGAGGAUGGAAAGGAAGAGGAUAGAAAGGAGUCUGGACCUGUGAUUCAUUGAACAAGGGAGCUCCAAUAUGAGGAAAGUCCCUCUUGUACUGCAGAUCCAUUUCUUUGAUUCACUUUAUAGCAGUGGAGAAUUGUUCAGAGGUGUAAGAGGUUACCCUCUCUCUUCACCAUUACUUGAGAAAGUUCCAGCAAUACUAACUUUCAGUAACACAAGAGAACAAAAUUCCAGUGUCCUGCUUCUACCAAGAGUGCUGUUAUGACUAUUCGGGUGUAUGUGGAAACUUCCCAUCUGUCUUCAGCUUAUUUGAAAUAUAUACCCGGUAGCAGGAUCAUCAGGCCAAAGGUGAAUGAUUAUCCCAGAGAGAAUGGAUUGACCCAUCAUCUGAAAUACCAGAUCCAGCAAGAAGCUGGAUCAAGGGAGUUGCUGUGUAAGAGAACAACUCAUCCAUCAGCUAUGCCACACCCAGAAGUGAAUUUGGCAGGGUCCCGGCAAAGGGAAAAAAGGAAUCCUAGGCUCAAUUCAUGUCAACACGUCGAUCACCAACACGUCGAUCACUAUUAGGGAAUACACCAGGUGGGGGCUUAUGAAUGAUGGAAUUAGAAGCCAGAGCCCUUCAGAGUUACCUCCAUGUGAGAGAUGAUCUCUCAGAAGGGAAGCCUCCUCAAAGGGUCAAUAGUUCUUGUUAAUGUUUCUUG